rnacentral:rRNA from 1 species
UGGCGACCGGCGCACGGGUGAGUAACGCGUAUGCAACCUGCCCGAUACCGGGGUAUAGCCCAUGGAAACGUGGAUUAACACCCCAUAGACUUUUAUCCUGCAUGGGAUGUGAGUUAAAUGUUCAAGGUAUCGGAUGGGCAUGCGUCCUAUUAGUUAGUUGGCGGGGUAACAGCCCACCAAGACGAUGAUAGGUAGGGGUUCUGAGAGGAAGGUCCCCCACAUUGGAACUGAGACACGGUCCAA